UACGUAGGCAGCGAGCGUUGUUCGGAAUUACUGGGCGUAAAGAGUGUGUAGGCGGUGUUCCCAGUCUGUUGUGAAAUCUCCCGGCUUAACUGGGAGGGUGCAGCGGAAACUAGAAUGCUAGAGGGUGGGAGAGGUAAGCGGAAUUCCUGGUGUAGCGGUGAAAUGCGUAGAUAUCAGGAGGAACACCUAUGGCGAAGGCAGCGUACUGGACCACUUCUGACGCUGAGACACGAAAGCGUGGGUAGCAAACAGG
rnacentral:rRNA from 1 species